rnacentral:misc_RNA from 1 species
UGAAUGGGUCCCCGGGCAGCCCAUUCCUGCCUGGCACCACAGGGAUCCAACGGGAGAGGAACAGAGGGUAAAACUACACGGAGAGAAGGAAAUCUCUAGCUGAACUUUGUAACAAUUCGAACAGCGUGAGAAGUCUCCUGGCCAGAACUCGGGGGAGGACACAAAUCUCCUGCACAGUUAAUAUCCAGAGUCACACGUGGAGAGGAAGCAUCACAAUGAGACCAUACAACCAUAUAAUCUGUUCAAGUCCUAGAAGGUGUUGGCAGAGCUGCAGGACUGACCUAGGUCAAUGGCUGUGGGUGUCUGCUAACAGAUUUAACUGCCUGCCACCUGAGCACUGGAGCCACCACAGUACUCAAUCAAGACAG